UACGAAGGGGGCUAGCGUUGCUCGGAAUCACUGGGCGUAAAGCGCACGUAGGCGGAUUGUUAAGUCAGGGGUGAAAUCCUGGAGCUCAACUCCAGAACUGCCUUUGAUACUGACGGUCUUGAGUCCGGGAGAGGUGAGUGGAACUCCGAGUGUAGAGGUGAAAUUCGUAGAUAUUCGGAAGAACACCAGUGGCGAAGGCGGCUCACUGGCCCGGUACUGACGCUGAGGUGCGAAAGCGUGGGGAGCAACAGGG
rnacentral:rRNA from 1 species